GUAAUACGAAUGUCUAAUUUCCAUUUCGUACGUGUUUUAAAAACUUUCUUAUCUUCGUACGUGCAGUGCACAUUAACUUGUCCGAAGAAAUUGUCGCUAAAUAUAGUUGGACCAAUCCGUGCAAAUUUCUACCUUGUUUCAAGUGCAGUGGUGAAAAAAUCAAUUGUCUCCCGUAACCAGCGCUAUUUUACUCUGUAACAGAUACUUGAAUCCUGGUUGACCUGAAGGAAUAUCACAGAACAAUGCAAAAACGUCGAAAAUACGGAUAGUAUCGAGAACUGGAGUUUCUUUAACAAGAACUGUUGGCCGCUGGUAGAUUUACUUAACUUAGCUAAAUUACCAUGCUACCGACAUAGCGCGAAUAAGUUAGUGGGGAGCUGUUCGGGGAGGUAUGAUAAAAUUGUAAAUUUGCUAUUUAUUACAACAGAUUCUGAGAGGUCAAUAUCGAAAGAUCUUUCGUUACCGUGCAGUUCUACCAAUCACGAUGCUUGCCUGCUGGGAGAAUAGAGAGCGAGGGAAAUUCAAUAAUUCAGAUUAGCAGACGAACGGACGCAAGCUGCAUCACAAGGAAUAGAGAGUUAGAGGCCUUCGCUACGGGACAAUUGCAUGAUGUUUCGCAAAAUAUUCCAGUGUCUAUUACUAGUUUUGCUGGCCCACUUGGAAGCGGGUGAAAUCCGAGGACUGUCGCCGUAUUUCUUCAAACGUGCACCGAAAAAUCUCAAGGAAAAAGUAUUUCACUGGUCUUCAGUUUAUCAAGAUGAUGCAUGGUGUUCUGAGGUUUGUGAUGCGAAAAUCUGUCGCAUGAUUGAGAAGAACGGAAGAUUUGACAGAAGUUAUAAAGACUGUAAUUGUGGACUGCACUGUCACUGCCUGUACACUGAAUUCAAUGAUUAUCAUAAGACAUACGUCUAUAGAUGUAUGCCAGCAUUCUGAGUCAUGCAAAUUUUGCAGUGUAAAUGUUAUUUGUCAUUCUGUCCGGCGUUUUACACGUUCUGUUGCUGUCUCUGUGUGUAAAAACACAUUUACUAGAGUGCGUUUCCCACGAGAAACGUUAGCUAAGUUUUAACUGCACAAGAAAGAGCUUUCGAGUGGUAUCAUUGUCAGUCAUUCUAUAGACGUCAACACUACUUGAUUGUCGUUUGUUCCUCAACCAAGUGUUUCUAACUGUGUAACGAAAUUUUUUCAAUGUCAAUUUUUCGGUUUUUAAAAAUUCGAUUUCAUUAGCCCCUGAGCAGACUCCUAUUAUUAGAGCUGCCGGAUGCGCGUUUCUUCUCCCGCGGGAAGAAUGGAGACGAGUUGGAGAUAGGUUUACUGGGGGUCUGGCACUAGUAAUGAUUGCUGGACCCCUUUACAGACCUCUCACGGGCUCGUGUUCCUCAAGGUCUUAUACUUUCCCGCGGGCGAAGAAACGCUCGUGUUUAAGCGCCAUAAAUGAAGGCUUGCUCGCAAGCUAAAUCUCUCCAAAAAAAUUCAUGUAGGAAUAGGUUUAGUCGACAAAAACCAACAUGUUGGUGUAUAGCUGAAGUUCAGUUUUAACUUUCGUAAUAUCUAGUUAGGAAAAUAAAAAUUUGGGAAUCUUUUGGGACA